rnacentral:rRNA from 1 species
ACACUCCUACGGGAGGCAGCAGUGGGGAAUUUUGGACAAUGGGCGAAAGCCUGAUCCAGCCAUGCCGCGUGCAGGAUGAAGGCCUUCGGGUUGUAAACUGCUUUUGUACGGAACGAAACGGCCUUUUCUAAUAAAGAGGGCUAAUGACGGUACCGUAAGAAUAAGCACCGGCUAACUACGUGCCAGCAGCCGCGGUAAUACGUAGGGUGCAAGCGUUAAUCGGAAUUACUGGGCGUAAAGCGUGCGCAGGCGGUUAUGUAAGACAGUUGUGAAAUCCCCGGGCUCAACCUGGGAACUGCAUCUGUGACUGCAUAGCUGGAGUACGGUAGAAGGGAAUGGAAUUCCGCGUGUAGCAGUGAAAUGCGUAGAUAUGCGGAGGAACACCGAUGGCGAAGGCAAUCCCCUGGACCUGUACUGACGCUCAUACACGAAAGCGUGGGGAGCAAACAGGAUUAGAAACCCUAGUAGUCCCAUGAU